rnacentral:rRNA from 1 species
UGCGCCUUGCCAGCCCGCUCAGAAACUCAAAGGAAUUGACGGGGGCCCGCACAAGCGGAGGAGCAUGUGGUUUAAUUCGAUGAUACGCGAGGAACCCUUACCUGGGCUUAAAUGCUUAAUGACGUACUGGGAAACUGGUAUUUCUUCGGACAUUUUGCAAGGUGCUGCAUGGUUGUCGUCAGCUCGUGCCGUGAGGUGUCGGGUUAAGUCCCAUAACGAGCGCAACCCCUAUUGUUAGUUGCCAUCAGGUCAUGCUGGGGACUCUAACAAAACUGCCCGCGUAAGCGUGGAGGAAGGUGGGGAUGACGUCAAAUCAGCACGGCCCUUACGUCCAGGGCUACACACGUGCUACAAUGGCCGGUACAGAGGGCAGCCACUUGGUGACAAGGAGCAAAUCUCAAAAGCCGGUCUCAGUUCGGAUCGGAGUCUGCAACUCGACUCCGUGAAGUUGGAUUCGCUAGUAAUCGUAGAUCAGCAAUGCUACGGUGAAUACGUUCCCGGGCCUU